ensembl:lncRNA
CUGGGAACAGACCCGGGGGAGGGAGGCUGGCCAGGAUUAUUUUUAGCCUGACAGCAUCCCUUUAAAGUCCUGCACAACACAUCGAUCUGUGGUGAAUCCACGCCUGAGCAAAGACUGAUAGAGAGUUUGUUUUAAAAAUUGCAUAGAGGCCUUACCUCAUCAGGCCAGAGCAAGAUUGGGAAGAUACGUGAGGGAUGCUUCACAUUGCCUUCCCGUGAUAAAAACAGGCCCUGGAGCGAAUGUAUCACUUGCCACAAGGAAGGACACAAAGGGUGACACAUCUGCGAUAUGGGAGUAGAAGAAAAAGAUGAACACACCCAUGAAGUCCUGCGGGAUGUCAGGAGACCCUACUCUUUUCAAUAAAUCAGUGAAGAAGAAAGAAAUCCCCCGAGAGGAAGCAACGGCUCGAGACUCUCCACGGUGGCUGUGACACGACACGGAUGCUGUUCCUGCGUUGGUAACUGCAGCUCUGCAGACCUGGGCAACCAUGCCACACAGUCUCAGUUGCUGCUCAGCCACCACAGUCUGCACUGUCCCCACUGCUAUGUGGUGUUUAUCCCCUGCACAGGAAUUAGUGGGUUAGCAGGGUUGGGCUGCUCUGAUAUUUAGGGAAACGGUAUGGAGUUGCACCAGGGGAGGGUCAGGUUGGGGGUUAGGAAAAGGCUCUUCACAGAGGGCAGUGGGCAUGGAACAGGUUGCCCAGGGUAAUGGGCAUGGCCCCAAGUGCUGGAGUUCAAGGAGCAUCUGUACAACACUAGGGUCUGAUUUUUGGGUGGUGUGGCAUAGCCAGGAGCUGGACUCGAUGAUCCUUAUGGUUUUCUUCUAACUUGGGAAAUUCUAUGACUAUGAUAUACCGUCCAGGAGCCUCAGGAACUCCCUGUGGUGCUGGCAUACCAGGGCAGGUGAAUCCAGGUGAGAAAUGAGUGCAAACCUUCUGUUACCUGGAGGCAAGGAAGGCAAGAGCACAGGAUUUGGCUGGAGGUGAGGCAGGAUGGCAGGCGACAUGCUGCUUUACCUUCUAAUCUGUGCAUCAUAGCAUGCCCCAAAAUCAGAGGUCCUGCUCUAACACCAUGCACUGCCACAAUUCACAUCAAAGAAAUGAGAAAACAAACUUCCUUUUUUUCUUCUCUCUCCUCUAUUUCCAAAGCCCUGGCACCCCGAGAAAAAAAUAAAAAUAAAAAUGUUUUUC